rnacentral:rRNA from 1 species
CCCAGUGACUACGGGUUCAACGGCCGCGGUAUUUUGACCGUGCAAAGGUAGCGCAAUCACUUGUCUUUUAAAUAAAGACCUGUAUGAAUGGCCAAACGAGGGCUUAGCUGUCUCCCCCUCCAAGUCAGUGAAAUUGAUUUACCCGUGCAGAAGCGGGUAUAAUACUACAAGACGAGAAGACCCUUUGGAGCUUAAGGUACAAGGCUGGGCCACGUCAAACAACUUAACAAAGAGAUAAGAACUUAGUGGAGCAAACAGUCUUACCUUCGGUUGGGGCGACCACGGAGGAAAGACAAGCCUCCAAGAGGAUAGGGCCAGCACCCUAAAGCUAAGAGGGACACCUCUAAGCCGCAGAACAUCUGACCGAUAAUGAUCCGGCGUAAAGCUGAUCAACGAACCAAGUUACCCUAGGGAUAACAGCGCAAUCCUCUCCCAGAGUCCAUAUCGACGAGGGGGUUUACGACCUCGAUGUUGGAUCAGGACAUCCUAAUGGUGCAGCCGCUAUUAAGGGUUCGUUUGUUCAACGAUUAAAGUCCU